AGAGUUUGAUCCUGCUCAGAAUGAACGCUGGCGGCGUGCCUAACACAUGCAAGUCGGAUGUGCCCGCAAGGGUGCAUGGCAGACGGGUGAGUAACGCGUGGGGAAUCUACCUUUUAGUGGGGAAUAACGCUCCGAAAGGAGUGGUAAUACCGCAUGAGACCCAUGGUUGGGAUGCUGUGGGUGAAACCCUGGGACCUUCGGGCCAGGGGCUAGAAGAGGAUCCUGCGUCUGAUUAGCUAGUUGGCGGGGUAACGGCCCACCAAGGCGACGAUCAGUAGCCGGCCUGAGAGGGUGAUCGGCCACACUGGAACUGAGACACGGUCCAGACUCCUACGGGAGGCAGCAGUGGGGAAUUUUGCGCAAUGGGCGAAARSCKGACGCRGCAAMGCCGCGUGGCGYGAUGAAKGUCUCKCGGAUUGUAACRACCSUGUCGSMYAGGGACGAAGGGCUGGGCGSGUGMACRGYSCUUYACKUMSACGGUACCKGGAAAGGAAGCCCGGGCUAACUCUGUGCCGCCAGCCGCGGUAAUACAGAGGGGGCAAGCGUUAUUCUGAAUUAUUGGGCGUAAAGGGCGCGUAGGCGGUUUUUUAAGUCGGAUGUGCAAUCCCCAGGCUCAACCUGGGAACUGCAUCCGAGACUGGAAGGCUAGAGUACUGGAGAGGGUGGUGGAAUUCCUCGUGUAGCGGUGAAAUGCGUAGAGAUGAGGAGGAACACCAGUGGCGAAGGCGGCCACCUGGACAGUAACUGACGCUGAGGCGCGAAAGCGUGGGUAGCAAACAGGAUUAGAUACCCUGGUAGUCCACGCUGUAAACGACGAACACU
rnacentral:rRNA from 1 species